CAAUGGUGUGGAGAUGCCGGAGACCAGCCCCACCGAUCGCAUCAUUGCAAAGCAUUAACUCGCCUCAUGCCGGCACCUGCCCUGCUCCCUGCAGUGUGGAAGCUCACAUAUAGGCCCAGUUCCCCAGAAACAUGCCCUCAAAGGAAGCAAGAUUCUGCAUCCCCAGGCUGCAGGAAGCACGAUAGCGGGAUGCAAAGACUUAAUCAUAACCUGUUUCCCAAUUAGGCUGCAUACACCUCUGAGAAAUACCCCUGUGAAACUGUAAUGCUAUAACUAAACCAGAAGCACAAUAAGGGUCUUGGAGCCCUAGUUUUGCCUUAAGGGCAAUUUAGACAGUCCAAUUACUGGCCUGUUUCAAAUGGAAAUGGAAAGAGGACCUCAUAGCUAAUGGAAAUGGAAAAAGGAUACGUAGCUAUAUUGAGUGAGCCUUUAUUCCAGACUGGGCAGCCACGCAGGCAAGAAGGACGGUUCCAGACAAGACGCCUUUGAGGAGGAAUUUGCAUUCAUGUUAUUAACUGGCUGGGCCCCAGGAGCGUCGGCUGUAUGAAGAGCGCAAUCCGUCUGCGGCAUAGUGAUGACCUCAGCACUUCGAGGAAGCAGCAGGAGGCGAUGCCAAGGGCCGAGUGCAUGAUGGAAGCUCAACCUUUGUGCUGUGAGCCAGGUUAAGAGAAUCGAUGGGAUCAAUUAAAGGGAAGCGGGGAGAAACAAACGCACUAAUGAAUCUAUUUGUAAUCCUUGCUCAACGUCAGCGUCGUCAGAAUGCUCCAGAGAGUCUACAUCCCGGGGUCCCUGGGAAUCCAUGAUGCCUGGCUCUACAUGUUCAGCUUCUGAGAAAGCCCUCGUGUGACUCACUCCAGCUGCCUUUCACCUGCUCCCUCGUUAGCAUAAGAGUGUCUCCCAGUCCUAUGCUCCCCAGUCCGGUCAUUGAUGUUGCUACCUGCUAGUGUUCCUGCCAGUGCUCCUUCCUGUGUCCAGUGCUGUAUCAUCUUGCCCACUGCUUGUUUCCCUGUUUGACCCCUCAUGGUUCUUUUGAGUUCACCCUGUUUAUUAGUGAUUCUUUUCAAUAAAGCCCCUCUUUAGUUCCCUCAA